rnacentral:rRNA from 1 species
AUACGUAGGUCCCGAACGUUGCGCGAAAUUACUGGGCGUAAAGGGUCCGUAGGCGGUCUGGUAAGUGGAAGGCGAAAGCCUGGGGCUCAACUCCAGAAUUGCCUUCCAAACUGCCGGACUUGAGGCAGGGAGAGGUCGGCGGAAUUCCCGGUGUAGCGGUGAAAUGCGUAGAUGUCGGGAGGAACACCAGUGGCGAAGGCGGCCGACUGGAACUGUCCUGACGCUGAGGGACGAAAGCCAGGGGAGCGAACCGGAUUAGAUACCCUAGUAGUCC